rnacentral:rRNA from 1 species
GAUGAACGCUGGCGGCGUGCCUAAUACAUGCCAGUCGAGCGAACAGAUGAGGAGCUUGCUCCUCUGGCGUUAGCGGCGGACGGGUGAGUAACACGUGGAUAACCUACCUAUAAGACUGGGAUAACUUCGGGAAACCGGAGCUAAUACCGGAUAAUAUAUUGAACCGCAUGGUUCAAUAGUGAAAGACGGUUUUGCUGUCACUUAUAGAUGGAUCCGCGCCGCAUUAGCUAGUUGGUAAGGUAACGGCUUACCAAGGCAACGAUGCGUAGCCGACCUGAGAGGGUGAUCGGCCGCACUGGAACUGGGACACGGUCCAGGCUCCUACGGGAGGCAGCAGUAGGGAAUCUUCCGCAAUGGGCGAAAGCCUGACGGAGCAACGCCGCGUGAGUGAUGAAGGUCUUCGGAUCGUAAAACUCUGUUAUUAGGGAAGAACAAAUAUGUAAGUAACUAUGCACGUCUUGACGGUACCUAAUCAGAAAGCCACGGCUAACUACGUG